CGCGCCCGUAGCUCAAUUGGAUAGAGCGUUGGACUACGAAUCCAAAGGCUGCAGGUUCGAUCCCUACCGGGCGCGU
rnacentral:tRNA from 1 species